rnacentral:rRNA from 1 species
GACGAACGCUGGCGGCGUGCUUAACACAUGCAAGUCGAACGGAAAGGCACUGCUUUUGUGGGGUGCUCGAGUGGCGAACGGGGGAGUAACACGUGAGUAACCUGCCCUUGACUUUGGGAUAACUUCAGGAAACUGGGGCUAAUCCCGGAUAGGAGCUCCUGCUGCAUGGUGGGGGUUGGAAAGUUUCGGCGGUUGGGGAUGGACUCGCGGCUUAUCAGCUUGUUGGUGGGGUAGUGGCUUACCAAGGCUUUGACGGGUAGCCGGCCUGAGAGGGGGAACGGCCACAUUGGGACUGAGAGACGGACCAGAGUCCUACGGGAGGCAGCAGGGGGGAAUAUUACACAACGGGCGGAAGCCUGAUGCAGCAACGCCGCGUGCGGGAUGACGGCCUUCGGGGUGUAAACCGCUUUCGCCUGUGACGAAGCGUGAGUGACGGUAAUGGGUAAAGAAGCACCGGCUAACUACGUG